rnacentral:rRNA from 1 species
AUUGAACGCUGGCGGCAGGCCUAACACAUGCAAGUCGAGCGGGGUUUUCGGACCUAGCGGCGGACGGGUGAGUAAUGCGUAGGAAGCUACCCGAUAGAGGGGGAUACCAGUUGGAAACGACUGUUAAUACCGCAUAAUGUCUACGGACCAAAGUGUGGGACCUUCGGGCCACAUGCUAUCGGAUGCGCCUACGUGGGAUUAGCUAGUUGGUGAGGUAAUGGCUCACCAAGGCGACGAUCCCUAGCUGGUUUGAGAGGAUGAUCAGCCACACUGGAUCUGAGACACGAUCCAGACUCCUACGGGAGGCAGCAGUGGGGAAUAUUGGACCAUGGGCGCAAGCCUGUUCCAGCCAUGCCGCGUGUGUGAAGAAGGCCUUCGGGUUGUAAAGCACUUUCAGCGAGGAGGAAGGGGUGAGUGUUAAUAGUACUCAUCUUUGACGUUACUCGCAGAAGAAGCACCGGCUAACUCUGUGCCAGCCGCCGCCGUAAGAC